AGAUUUUAACAUGAAGUGAGUGGCGAAAGGGUGAGUAACCCGUGGGUAACCUGCCCAGAAGUAGGGGAUAACACCUGGAAACAGAUGCUAAUACCGUAUAACAGAGAAAACCGCAUGGUUUUCUUUUAAAAGAUGGCUCUGCUAUCACUUUUGGAUGGAUCCGCGGCGUAUUAGCUAGUUGGUGAGGUAAAGGCUCACCAAGGCAGUGAUACGUAGCCGACCUGAGAGGGUAAUCGGCCACAUUGGGACUGAGACACGGCCCAGACUCCUACGGGAGGCAGCAGUAGGGAAUCUUCCACAAUGGACGCAAGUCUGAUGGAGAAAGGCCGCGUGAGUGAAGAAGGGUUUCGGCUCGUAAAUAUAAGGUGUAAAGAAGAACGUGGGUAAGAGUAACUGUUACCCAGUGACGGUAUA
rnacentral:rRNA from 1 species